CUUUGCCUGUCCACAGGUUUUGAUAAAUCUCCCCCAUGAAGUCUGCAUGUUCUUACCUUGUCAGGGUAUCAUGACCAUCCUGCUCAACAUUGACCUGGGCCCAGGUGGAGGUGUAAGCAAGGAAGGGGUAAAAUGCCGGCAUAUACGGAACUAGGCAGCUGAAAGUGGCGUGCAGCGACACAUAGGACAGGACUCAACGAAAAGCCAACAGCGGAGGUGCGUAGCCAAGCAGAUAGCAGAUACAAGUACAAAGAGAAGACAGGAGCCGCACUCACCAGGAUGGUCUUUAUUGCAUUCCGAUCAUGCAAGCGAUGACAACAGGCGGGGGAGUUACUGUGGUCAAGUAUUGGAAACAAGACCUUAGAGCCUGCAUAGUACUGAAAUAAUGUAUGACCAUUAGAAAGAAGUCCACCGUGAACAGAAGGCUCCUUUACAAU